rnacentral:rRNA from 1 species
UACGUAGGGUGCGAGCGUUAAUCGGAAUUACUGGGCGUAAAGGGUGCGUAGGCGGGUCUUUAAGUCAGGGGUGAAAUCCUGGAGCUCAACUCCAGAACUGCCUUUGAUACUGAAGAUCUUGAGUUCGGGAGAGGUGAGUGGAACUGCGAGUGUAGAGGUGAAAUUCGUAGAUAUUCGCAAGAACACCAGUGGCGAAGGCGGCUCUCUGGACCGAUACUGACGCUGAGGCGCGAAAGCGUGGGGAGCAAACAGG